AGCUCCAAUAGCGUAUAUUAAAAUUGUUGCAGUUAAAAAGCUCGUAGUUGGAUUUCUGGUACGGCGCACUUGGCCCGCCGAGGUUACUCGGUUGUGUGCCGGUGUGCGCCUGCCAUCCUUCUGGGGAACGGCUCUACCCUUCACUGGGUGUGGGUCGGUAUCCAGAUCUUUUACUUUGAAAAAAUUAGAGUGUUUAAAGCAGGCUUGCGCUAUGAAUACAUUAGCAUGGAAUAAUAAUUUAGGACUUUGGUCUUAUUUUGUUGGUUUCUAGGACUAAAGUAAUGAUUGAUAGGGAUAGUUGGGGGUGCUAGUAUUCAGCGGCCAGAGGUGAAAUUCUUGGAUUCGCUGAAGACUAACUUAUGCGAAAGCAUUCACCAAGGAUGUCUUCU
rnacentral:rRNA from 1 species